rnacentral:lncRNA from 1 species
UCGAGAAAUGAUUCCAGCUGUCCUUCCACUAAUAGAAGAGAAACUCCAACAUUCUAAGGAGAUUAUACGAAGAAAAGCAGUUCUGGCAUUAUACAAAUUUUAUCUCAUUGCCCCUAAUCAAGUACAGCAUAUCCAUACUAAGUUUCGGAAAGCACUCUGUGACAGAGAUGUUGGGGUCAUGGCUGCCUCUUUGCAUAUAUACCUUAGGAUGAUUAAGGAAAAUUCUUCUGGAUAUAAAGACUUGACUGAGAGUUUUGUAACAAUUUUAAAGCAGGUGGUGGGGGGAAAGCUCCCUGUAGAGUUCAGUUACCACAGUGUGCCAGCGCCAUGGUUACAGAUUCAGCUCUUGAGAAUACUGGGACUGCUGGGAAAAGACGAUGAAAGGUAAAGCUUCCCAAGUCACAGAAUGACACAGAGUGACACACCAUGUCAUAGCUUGGCCACCCAGAAGUUCCCAGCACUUACCGCCAAUGUAAAGACACAGGUUACUGGGCAUUCCCAGCUUAUGCAUGUUCUCCCCUGCAAAGUGAACUUGCUUCAUCAUUGGAAGACAGGGUAAGACAGGGUAAGGUCACAAGCUAUCUGCUGUAGUUGGUGAGUAUGUUGUUAUAGCAACCAAAGGGAGCACAUAAUUUAAUGAAGACAGCCGUGUUCCAGAAAAAAAUGGAAGGAAAGUGAGAAUAUACAGAUUAA